rnacentral:rRNA from 1 species
GAUCCUGGCUCAGAAUCAACGCUGGCGGCGUGCCUAACACAUGCAAGUCGAACGCGAAAGUGSAGCAAKGCAUUAGUAGAGUGGCAAACGGGUGAGUAACACGUGGGUGACCUGCCUUCGAGCGGGGGAUAACGUCCCGAAAGGGACGCUAAUACCGCAUAACAUCCUGCCUUUUAAGAGGUGGAGAUCAAAGCCGGGGAUUCGCAAGAACCUGGCACUUGAAGAGGGGCCCGCGCCUGAUUAGCUAGUUGGUGGGGUAAUGGCCUACCAAGGCAACGAUCAGUAUCCGGCCUGAGAGGGCGGACGGACACACUGGGACUGAGACACGGCCCAGACUCCUACGGGAGGCAGCAG